rnacentral:rRNA from 2 species
CAGAUAAUUGGGGUGAAGUCGUAACAAGGUAGCCGUAUCGGAAGGUGCGGCUGGAUCACCUCCUUUCUAAGGAA